rnacentral:rRNA from 1 species
GAUGAACGCUGGCGGCGUGCCUAAUACAUGCAAGUCGAGCGAACGGACGAGAAGCUUGCUUUUCUGAUGUUAGCGGCGGACGGGUGAGUAACACGUGGAUACCCUACCUAUAAGACUGGGAUAACUUCGGGAAACCGGAGCUAAUCCCGGAUAAUAUUUUGUACCGCAUGGUUCAAAAGUGAAAGACGGUCUUGCUGUCGCUUAUAGAUGGAUCGGCGCUGCCUUAGCUAGUUGGUAAGGUAACGGCUUACCAAGGCAACGAUGCAUAGCCGACCUGAGAGGGUGGUCGGCCACACUGGAACGGAGACGCGGUCCAGACGCCUACGGGAGGCAGCAGUAGGGAAUCUUCCGCAAUGGGCGGAAGCCGGACGGAGCAACGCCGCGGGAGUGAUGAAGGCCUUCGGAUCGUAAAACUCUGUUAUUAGGGAAGAACAUAUGUGUAAGUAACUGUGCACAUCUGGACGGUACCUAAUCAGAAAGCCACGGCUAACUACGUG